CAUCUUUCCCAACAUCAGGGUCUUUUCCAGGGAGUCUUCUCUUCUCAUGAGGACUCCCUGGAAAAGACCCUGAUGUUGGGAAAGAU